rnacentral:rRNA from 1 species
CCUGGCGUCAGGAUGAACGCUAGCGACAGGCCGUAACACAUGCAAGUCGAGGGGCGAGCACAGAGGUAGCUUGCUACUUUGGGGUGGCGACCGGCGCACGGGUGAGUAACGCGUGAGAAACCUGCCUUUCAUGGGGGGACAACAGUUGGAAACGACUGCUAAUACCGCAUAAUGUACACGGACCGCAUGAUCUGUGUACCAAAGCUUUAUGUGCUGAAAGAUGGCCUCGCGUCUGAUUAGAUAGUUGGUGGGGUAACGGCCUACCAAGUCGACGAUCAGUAGCCGGACUGAGAGGUUGAACGGCCACAUUGGGACUGAGAUACGGCCCAGACUCCUACGGGAGGCAGCAGUGGGGAAUAUUGGGCAAUGGGCGCAAGCCUGACCCAGCAACGCCGCGUGAAGGAAGAAGGCUUUCGGGUUGUAAACUUCUUUUGUCAGGGAAGAGUAGAAGACUGUACCUGACGAAUAAGCCACGGCUAACUACGUG